rnacentral:lncRNA from 1 species
CUAUUUUUAUUAUAAUUUUAUCAUGAAUUACACAUUCAGCAUGCGCGAUUGUCCAUGCACAUGCGUGGCAUGAGUCAUUUUUAUUGCACUUCUAUCGUGCGACCAUAGUUAUUGGCUUGUGCAAGUGACAUAAAACACCCUAGAUAGAAAAUGAAAAAAUGCAAGACAAAAGUAAUAUUUAUUAAACAGAUAAUUACACUAUUUACUCUACAUUUUGGUUGAAUCGCAAGUGGGUACCCAAUCCACGAGAAGGCUCAAGCUGGUGUCCAUCCUUUCAAAAUAGGUUUUGUGCAAGUGACAUAAAACACCCCUAGAUAGAAAAUGAAAAAAAUACAAGAAAAAGUAAUAGUUAGGUUUUGUUUGAUUCCCAUUUUUCUCAAAAUGCAUUCAUUCUCUUCUUUUCGAUAAUACAUUCUUCAUUAAAACAAUAUUACACGUAAAUAAAAAAAAUUUACUUAUUUUUCAACCAUACAUUUCUCAUUAAUUUACUAUUCUAAAAUUCAUUUUUUUCAUUAAAAAGGGGCUCAAACACCCUCUUAUUUAACGGAUAAUUACACUAUUUACUCUACAUUUUGGUUGAAUCGCAAGUGGGUACCCAAUCCACAAGAACGUUCAAGCUGGUUCCCAUCCUUUCAAAAUAGGUGCACAAUAUUAGCCCCAAUGGACAUAUUACGUCAAACUUUUUAGAAAAUCCUUAUGUGACCUUCUUAUGAUAAUUAUUAAAUUGGGUAAAAUCCACCAAUCUUAAUAAUAAAUGAAUAAAAAGAGGUAUAAAUAAACUUCAUGUUCUUCAUCCACACCCCAUCCACCACCACCUACCCCUACGCUACCCUACGCUACCCUAUAGCCUUACGCCGAGCUCGAUUCCCUUGCACUUGACUCCUUGAUGGAGGGAACUCCUGCGCUCGUGUGCCCUACUCAUAGGGCCCAUUUUGCUCCUUAUAGGAUUUAUAGAACUAUUUACACCCUACCUAUCCCUCAUCACUACCACCAAUCCCGGUAAUAACCCUUGAGCCUAGAUGCACUAUAACCAUCAAGGAGUAUUAUAUUUUAUUCCAAAAGACUCUGUGGCUCUUUGAGACCUCUUAAACCUCGUUUGAUUCUCAUUUUUAUAUCAAAAUAUAUUUUUCUCUUUUUUAUUUUUAACUACACAUUCUUCAUUAAAAUAAUAUUACAUGUAAGUAAAAAAAAUUUCGUAUUUUUCAUCUACACAUUCUCUAUCAAUUUGCUAUUCUAAAAUUCAUUUCAAUGAAAAUGGGUGUCAAACACACUCUUAGUUCACCUCGUAAACUUUCUCAAUUUCUGAAGUCCCAAUGCAUACCUCGACAAAGAUCAACGUACUAGGCUAUUUUUCUAUAGAUAAUUUCUCAAGUUGCAUGGUUCCUUACUAAGCAGUAGUUCCUCAAAAGAAAUGCAAACCCCAAACAUGCAUAAAAAUUAAAAAUUAAAAAUUAAAAAAAAUGUAUAGAAUUAUUGUAUGCUCCUUAGUGCUCUUUGGGUCAAUUUUUCUAUUGCAAAUCACUCGCAAUUGAACUUGAAUUUCCAACUCGGCCCAGUUGUCUAAGACUUGAUGUUUGCUAUUCCUAAAUUAAAGAAAAUUACUAGAAUUUCUCCCUCACGGAGAGAAUAAAAAUCAGAACACAUUAUUUUCUUUUAAAACAAAAGUUGAUACAAUUUUUAGCUUCUUUCUAUUUAGUACAAAUCAUUCAAGAGUAAUUUUGGUUUGGGAUGUCACGAAAGAUACUUAACUAUUUCUUUUGAAAAAUAGAAGCGGCCUGAAAUGCCCAAAAACAGUAUUAAGCACAAUUAAUCUUGAAAAACAAGUGCAGAAAGUAAAAAUUACAAGAAUCAAAGCCCAAGAUUUGUUUCGACCUGAGCCCCAGAAAUUCGAUGACCGCUUAUAACACCUAAUCCUUUGUUGAGCAUUCAUAAAAUGAAUAAUGCUCGUCUACACUUUAAUAUCCAAAAUGGCAACCAAGAUACAAAAAUGUUCACAAAGUACAAAGAACAAGCCUUUACCUUUAAAGAACCUGCCAAAUUGAAUCACUGUUCACCAAGAACUCCCAAAAAUCACACUAACACCCUAAUCUGAAUUUACAACAGAAGAACACACAAUCCCUCAACGAAUUUCAUUGAGAAUCAAUAAAAUAAAAAGGAGGAGUAGAAGAAUUCGACAUCUCAAAUGAAAUUUUCGAGAGUAGAAGAAUCCCAACUAAAAGGGUUAAAGUCUCUCAAACCAAAAGCCAUAAAAUAAUGCAACUGAACGAACAGCAAUAGCCAGAUGAAAGGUUUUAGACCACAUAACAAUCCAGAAGCCAGAAAGACGGUCAGGAGAAAGCCA